GUUAACAUUGGCGCUAGAAGGAGGGGUGUGUUCUAGUGUUCUUGAAGUUUUCAAUCACAAAUUGUAGCUGCUCUACGUCGGAAUCCAUGGUGAAGAAGAGUAGAACAGUUACCUCUAAAGGAUACCUGAUGGCUAUGACUUCGUCUACACAAUGAGUAUCUGUCAAGGAUUGAUUGGGUCCUUCAAAGAAUGCUCAUGUUGGUACUGCUUCCAAGCAGGUUUCU
rnacentral:lncRNA from 1 species